rnacentral:rRNA from 1 species
AUGUCCAUGCCUACAAAAUUAAUGUAUUGGAUCCCAUUAGAACUUUGUAGUUAAACGUGCUUUGGCUAGAGUAGUAUUGGGAUGGAUGACUGCAAGGGAUGUCCUAGUGUUUUACAUG